GGGAAAGCAAAAAAGAGGAGGAAGAAGAAGGUGGAGGAGGAAAAGGAGAAUAAGAAUAAAGAGCUAGCUGAAACCUUAUCUUCCUCGUAGAGGGUCUCCGAAGAAUGGAAGAAAAAGAGAGAAAUGAGCUAUGAGCAAAAUAAAUGUGGAUUAUAGGACAAUAACUUUUCCAACCAAUAAGAAAAGGAGAAAACUGGAAACUUGGAGAAAAAUUACAGAAAAAGCUGGAAAAUCGAUUGGGUCGAAGUGAUUUGGCCAAAUCACUUGCAGAAAGCUGAAGCAGAAAACUGGGACUGACUUGCAGAGACGAUCUGGGCAAGUGAUUUGGGCAAAUCAACUGCCCAAAUCAAACUGAUGCAGAAAAGUCCAGCAGCGCGAGAAAAAGGAAAUUCAGAAUUUAAAAAGUAUUGGAGUCCUAUCCUACUUCAAACACCAUAAGACCAAUCUUAUGACAACUCCAAGAGUCACUUCAAAGGAAGACUUUCUCUAAAAGAAGAUUUAUUCAUGAUUAAAUACAAAGGCAAUGAAGGAAUAAAAGACUACAAAAGACCAAGUCAAAUUAAGAUUUCAAAUCCUAAUUAGAUUAGGACUCCUCACCUAUAAAGAGGGACAGCAUCCAACCAGCAAAAAAUCAUCAAAUUUUAUCCAGAUUUUCGGCAGUAAUCUCCCUCUACUUUUCUUCUUUCUUUUUGUGUUCUUUGUCCACCAUGAGUGGCUAAACAUCUAUUUAUCUAGUUGAAGUUCGAGAAUUUUCAGUUUGUGAUGAAUUGGGAGAUUUAAAACUCCAUUGUUAAGCUUCUAUUUUUCAAUAUUUAUGCAACUUGUUCUUUAUGCUA